rnacentral:rRNA from 1 species
UAGGGAAUCUUCCGCAAUGGACGCAAGUCUGACGGAGCAACGCCGCGUGAGUGAAGAAGGAUUUCGGUUCGUAAAACUCUUUUGUUAGAGAAGAACAGCGCAUUGAGUAACUGUUAUGCGUGUGACGGUAUCUAACCAGAAAGCCACGGCUAACUACGUGCCAGCAGCCGCGGUAAUACGUAGGUGGCAAGCGUUGUCCGGAUUUAUUGGGCGUAAAGCGAGCGCAGGCGGUCAAUUAAGUCUGAUGUGAAAGCCCCCGGCUCAACCGGGGAGGGUCAUUGGAAACUAGGUGAAUGGAGUGCAGAAGAGGAGGGUGGAAUUCCAUGUGUGGCGAUGAAAUGCGUAGAUAUAUGGAGAAACACCAGUGGCGAAGGCGACUCUCUGGUCUGUAACUGACGCUGAGGCUCGAAAGCGUGGGUAGCAAACAGG